GGGCGGCUAGCUCAGCGGUAGAGCGGCUGGUUUACACCCAGUAGGUCGGGGGUUCGAUCCCCUCGCCGCCCACCA
rnacentral:tRNA from 2 species